GUGAGGAAUAUUGCGCAAUGGAGGCAACUCUGACGCAGCCAUGCCGCGUGCAGGAAGAAGGCGCUACGCGUUGUAAACUGCUUUUAACCGGGAAGAAACCCCAGGACGUGUCCUGGGUUGACGGUACCGGAGGAAUAAGCACCGGCUAACUUCGUGCCAGCAGCCGCGGUAAUACGAAGGGUGCAAGCGUUAUCCGGAUUCAUUGGGUUUAAAGGGUGCGUAGGCGGAGCGUUAAGUCAGUGGUGAAAUCCUGCAGCUUAACUGUAGACUUGCCAUUGAUACUGGCGCUCUUGAGUGCGCUUGAAGUGGGCGGAAUGUGCCGUGUAGCGGUGAAAUGCUUAGAUAUGAUACAGAACACCGAUAGCGAAGGCAGCUUGCUGAACCAUUAUUGACGCUGAGGCACGAAAGCGUGGGGAGCGAACAGGAUUAGAAACCCCGGUAGUCC
rnacentral:rRNA from 1 species